UUCAUGAAUGCAAAAUGAGAUGGA
rnacentral:piRNA from 1 species